UACGUAGGGUGCAAGCGUUGUCCGGAAUUAUUGGGCGUAAAGAGCUCGUAGGCGGUUUGUCGCGUCGGCUGUGAAAACUCGGGGGCUCAACCCCGAGCCUGCAGUCGAUACGGGCAGACUAGAGUGCUGUAGGGGAGACUGGAAUUCCUGGUGUAGCGGUGAAAUGCGCAGAUAUCAGGAAGAACACCCCGUGGCUAAGGCGGCUCUCUAGUACGGUACUGACGCUGAGACGCGAAAGCGUGGGGGAGCGAACAGG
rnacentral:rRNA from 1 species